GAAAUCCCCGGGUUUAACUUAGGAAAUGCAUUUCAGACUGGGGUGCUAGAGUACUUUAGGGAGGGGUAGAAUUCCACGUGUAGCGGUGAAAUGCGUAGAGAUGUGGAGGAAUACCGAAGGCGAAGGCAGCCCCUUGGGAAUGUACUGACGCUCAUGUGCGAAAGCGUGGGGAGCAAACAGGAUUAGAUACCCUGGUAGUCCACGCUGUAAACGCUGUCGAUUUGGGGAUUGGGCUUGAGCUUGGUGCCCGAAGCUAACGUGAUAAAUCGACCGCCUGGGGAGUACGGCCGCAAGGUUAAAACUCAAAUGAAUUGACGGGGGCCCGCACAAGCGGUGGAGCAUGUGGUUUAAUUCGAUGCAACGCGAAGAACCUUACCUACUCUUGACAUCCAUGGAAUCUUGUAGAGAUAUGAGAGUGCCUUCGGGAACCAUGAGACAGNUGCUGCAUGGCUGUCGUCAGCUCGUGUUGUGAAAUGUUGGGUUAAGUCCCGCAACGAGCGCAACCCUUAUCCUUUGUUGCCAGCGAUUAGGUCGGGAACUCAAAGGAGACUGCCGGUGAUAAACCGGAGGAAGGUGGGGAUGACGUC
rnacentral:rRNA from 1 species